rnacentral:rRNA from 1 species
AAACGUAGGGGGCGAGCGUUGUCCGGAAUUACUGGGCGUAAAGGGCUCGUAGGCGGUAACUCAAGUCAGUUGUGAAAACCGACGGCUUAACCGGAGGAUUGCAGUUGAUACUGGGUUACUUGAGGCAAGGAGAGGAAGGUGGAAUUCCCGGUGUAGCGGUGAUAUGCGUAGAUAUCGGGAGGAACCCCAGUGGCGAAGGCGGCCUUCUGGUCUUGACCUGACGCUGAGGAGCGAAAGCCAGGGUAGCGAACGGGAUUAGAUACCCCGGUAGUCCUGGCUGUAAACGAUGGACACUAGGUGUAGGUGGUAUCAACCCCAUCUGUGCCGCAGCUAACGCAUUAAGUGUCCCGCCUGGGGAGUACGGUCGCAAGGCUGAA